rnacentral:rRNA from 1 species
UACGUAGGGUGCGAGCGUUAAUCGGAAUUACUGGGCGUAAAGAGCUCGUAGGCGGUUUGUCGCGUCUGCUGUGAAAUCCCGAGGCUCAACCUCGGGUCUGCAGUGGGUACGGGCAGACUGGAGUGCGGUAGGGGAGAAUGGAAUUCCUGGUGUAGCGGUGGAAUGCGCAGAUAUCAGGAGGAACACCGAUGGCGAAGGCAGUUCUCUGGGCCGUAACUGACGCUGAGGAGCGAAAGCGUGGGGAGCGAACAGG